UGCCGUGAUGUUGUAAUUUGCGUCUUACUCCACACUAUGCGACAGUUGCCUGCUGUCACUAUGCUGGUGUGAGUGGCUGCAGAAAAAAACAAAGUUCUGAGCA